rnacentral:rRNA from 1 species
CACGUAGGGUGCGAGCGUUGUCCGGAAUUAUUGGGCGUAAAGAGCUCGUAGGCGGUGUGUCGCGUCGGCCGUGAAAACCUGCAGCUUAACUGUGGGCUUGCGGUCGAUACGGGCAUCACUGGAGUUCGGCAGGGGAGACUGGAAUUCCUGGUGUAGCGGUGAAAUGCGCAGAUAUCAGGAGGAACACCGGUGGCGAAGGCGGGUCUCUGGGCCGAUGACUG